rnacentral:rRNA from 1 species
UACAGAGGGGGCAAGCGUUGUUCGGAAUUACUGGGCGUAAAGGGCGCGUAGGCGGCCGGUUAAGUCAGACGUGAAAUCCCCAGGCUCAACCUGGGAACUGCGUCUGAUACUGGAUGGCUUGAAUUCGGGAGAGGGAUGCAGAAUUCCAGGUGUAGCGGUGAAAUGCGUAGAUAUCUGGAGGAAUACCGGUGGCGAAGGCGGCAUCCUGGACCGACAUUGACGCUGAGGAGCGAAAGCUAGGGGAGCAAACGGG